rnacentral:lncRNA from 1 species
CAAGCAAGCCUAGCUAUAUUAUCCUGCUCAUUAUUUCAUCAAAUUUCUAAAGUCACAUUUUAUAAUUUAGAAUCCAGUUAAUGCUAUUCAUGGCCAACUUAUAAUGGCAUUACCAAUUAAUAUACAUGUGUUGUCUAAACAUAUGUCUUAAUAAUUUACAUUGGGUCUGUCUAUACACAAUAAAAAAGUACUCGACUUCUAAUGGAGAGACUCAAAAGAAUGUAUAGCUACUGAAUGCUGAGACACCUACCAAGGGUCGAAUAUACGAAGACACUUCAACCUAGUUACCAGCUGCCUCGUGAUCUGAAAACAUGAAGUUGAAAACGAUGAGUAUAAACCCAGUGAGUGAACAAGGAAGGGAACAAGCAACAGUAAGGAAGGAUUUAAAAAUCAUGAUGCACUUAUUUCAAAACAAGGCAAUUUAAUUUAGUGCUUAUCAAAACCCCUCAGGAAAACCCCAAUUGAUUAAAUCACUUAAUGUAAAGGGUCCAUGCUCAACAAAAGAUUUGAAAAAUGAAAACUUUAAUAACUUUCAUGCAAUUCAAGUGAGAAUGAAUUUUCGUUGCAGCGACAUUUGAAUUAAAUUAUCAACUAGCCGAGGGAUUCUUAGCUGGCCGAGGGUUUCUCACCAAACCCCUCAUUUUAAACUUAGUUUGUUUAUUCCUUAAUGUUGGAAGUCCAUGCUCAACUAUAGUACCAAAGAAGUGGAAAAUAGUGCAGCAAUCGAUUAAGAUACUAAGCAAAAUAGAAAGUUUUUCACUACAGCGAGAUUCAAGCCAUGAAACACAAACUUUCUCGCUACAACGAGAACCAUGUUUGGUGAAACCCUUGAAAACUUGAGAGUUUCUCGCUGCAAAAGAAUGAAUCUCGCUAUAGCGAGAAACAGGGCACCAGCAAAAAUUCCCCAUUUCCUCAAGAAAAGGCCACCCUGUUCACAUGACAAAUGCAACUUGAAACACAUAUAAAUUCCCAAAGCUUAACAUGUCAAAUUUCACAUGCAUUUCAAUCAUAUACAUAUUCAUGAACUUUCCAUGACACACAUAUCUAUAUAUGUAUAUAUAUAUAUAUAUCCAUCAUCAUGCACACUCUACCAUCGUCAUCAGCUCAUGUGCACUCCCCACUAGCACAUGGCUGGGUUAACAUUGGCUUAUGCGCACUUCUAUUCGCACAUAACCGAGUCAUCAUCGGCUUAUACGCACUCCUACUCGCACAUAGUCGGGUCAUCAUCGGCAUAUGUGCACUCCUACUUGCACAUAGCCAAGUCCACAUCAACAUAUGAAAGAAACACCCAAUGCAUAUUGUACAUAUCAUCAUAUUGUGAUAUCACAUAAACCAUUUAUAUACCACAUUUUCACAAGAUAAAAACACCUCACCAAAGGCUUGUUCCCAAGGUACAUUUUUAAAGAAAAGCUAGAUAAAAUCUUUCAAAUGUUUGUACAAUUACAUUCACAUUCCCAAAAGAAAUUUUGAAAUGCAAGCCCACUCACCGGUAUUAUUUUAGCCUUUAGCCGAUCCUAACUUCCCUAACUGUCCAAAUGGGAUGAUGGGGCUUCGUUGGAACCUAUCAUCACAUUAGCAUCACCAAUUUGUCAAUUCACAUACUUAUAAAGUCUAAAGCUUUCUCUUAGCUAGCCUCCAAUUGCCAUUUAAAUUGCUAUCUAUUUUCACUACCCUAAUCACUCUAAAAUGAGUGGAUAACCUCAACUAUAAACAUUCACAAUUCCCUAAAAUAUAUACCAGCACAUGCUAUCCAUAAUUUUUGUAAUUAAAAUAAAUCAUACUUAUAGGUAUAUAUUUAUGAAAAUUUUUAAAAUUGACACCCCCUACUCACCUUGGUAACUUGAAACUUUGAAAUUCUUUCCAAUAAAUUUUCCAAGCUAUUAUGGGAGCUUUCUCUCUCUUUCUUUCUUUAAACACCUAGCUAGUGAGAGAAAGUAUGAAAGUGGGAUUUUUCAAGGGUUUUAAAGUGAGAGAGUGAAAGAGCACAAAGAUUUCAUGAAAGGGUGUAUCGAGGCAUGAAAAUUAGAGCUAGAGAGAGAAAGUUAUGGAAGCUUGAAGAGGACUCCCAUGGAGGAUGAAGAAACGUGAGAGGGAAGAAGGAAGAAGAAGAAGAA